rnacentral:rRNA from 1 species
AUUGAACGCUGGCGGCAGGCCUAACACAUGCAAGUCGAACGAGUGGCGGACGGCUGAGUAAUGUCUGGGAAACUGCCUGAUGGAGGGGGAUAACUACUGGAAACGGUAGCUAAUACCGCAUACCAUCGGAGGUGCCCAGAUGGGAUUAGCUAGUAGGUGGGGUAAAGGCUCACCUAGGCGACGAUCCCUAGCUGGUCGGAGAGGAUGACCAGCCACCCGGGAACUGAGACACGGUCCAGAGUCCCACGUGAGGCCGCAGGGGGGAAGAGGGCAAAAUGGGCGCAAGCCUGAUGCCGCCAUGCCGCGUGUAUGAAGAAGGCCUUCGGGUUUUAAAGUACUUUCAGCGUGGAGGCGUUACCCGCAGAAGAAGCACCGGCUAACUCCGUGCCAGCAGCCGCGGUAAUUC